rnacentral:sRNA from 12 species
CCCUGACAGCCACAUAAUGAGGCUGACACUAGCCUCGACAGGAGUAUCACAUG